CUUUUCUGAAGGACAUGGCCAAUAGGAGCUGGAGCGAGGGAGAAGCUUCUUCCCUCAACUCUGGUUGGAGGCAAAGUUCUGUGGGACCCAACUGGACCUAGAGAUUUUCAUUAUACUAUUUCCGGCCAGCAUAUUUAUCAAGCUAGAGAAGAGUGGAUUGGAAGAGGAUAUCAGAAGUUGUGUCUUGGUUGUGGC